rnacentral:rRNA from 1 species
AUUGAGCGCUGGCGGCAGGCCUAACACAUGCAAGUCGAGCGGAUGAAGGGAGCUUGCUCCUGGAUUCAGCGGCGGACGGGUGAGUAAUGCCUAGGAAUCUGCCUGGUAGUGGGGGAUAACGUCCGGAAACGGGCGCUAAUACCGCAUACGUCCUGAGGGAGAAAGUGGGGAAUCUUCGGACCUCACGCUAUCAGAUGAGCCUAGGUCGGAUUAGCUAGUUGGUGGGGUAAAGGCCUACCAAGGCGACGAUCCGUAACUGGUCUGAGAGGAUGAUCAGUCACACUGGAACUGAGACACGGUCCAGACUCCUACGGGAGGCAGCAGUGGGGAAUAUUGGACAAAGGGCGAAAGCCUGAUCCAGCCAUGCCGCGUGUGUGAAGAAGGUCUUCGGAUUGUAAAGCACUUUAAGUUGGGAGGAAGGGCAGUAAGUUAAUACCUUGCUGUUUUGACGUUACCAACAGAAUAAGCACCGGCUAACUUCGUG